UUUGGGGGGGGGGGAGGGUUCCCAUCCGAGGCUCCAUGGGAUGCAUUGGGGCGCCCCCACACCCGCUCCUUUUGGGGACCCCCACCCCUAUUUGGGGACCCCCAGCCCCAAUUUGGGCCCCCUGAGUUCAUUGAGGGACCCCCAGAACCACUCUUCUUGGGGACCCCCACCCCCAUUUGGGGACCCCCACCCACUUUCUGGGGGGAUCCCUGAUGCCAUUUGGAGACCCCCACCCCCAUUUGGGGGACCCCCACCCACUUUCUGGUGGAUCCCUGAUGCCAUUUGGAGACCCCCACCCCCAUUUGGGGACCCCCAGCCCCAAUUUGGGCCCCCUGAAUUCAUUGAGGGACCCCCAGAACCACUCUUCUUGGGGACCCCCACCCCCAUUUGGGGACCCCC
ensembl:lncRNA